rnacentral:RNase_P_RNA from 1 species
GAGGUUGUACAUCUGGUCGCUGCUGUGAAAACAGUGGAGGAAAGUCCGGACUCCAAAGGGCAAGAGCGCUUCCUAACGGGAAGAGGGAGAAAUCCCAUGGAAAGUGCAACAGAAAAUACACCGCCAACUUCCUUUGGGAACGGUAAGGGUGAAAUGGUGCGGUAAGAGCGCACCCGUUUGUGUGGCGACAUGCAGCGUGGAAAACCCCGCUCGGAGCAAUUUAAAAUAGGGGAACUAUUAUAGGGCUGCCCGCCUGAUGUUCCCGGGUAUAAUGCGUAAUUCUGUUGGCAACAACAGAAUAAGAUAAAUGACCAGACUCGACAGAAUCCGGCUUAUUUACAACCUUCUGC